UACGAAGGGGGCUAGCGUUGCUCGGAAUCACUGGGCGUAAAGCGCACGUAGGCGGAUUGCUAAGUCAGGGGUGAAAUCCUGGAGCUCAACUCCAGAACUGCCUUUGAUACUGGCGAUCUCGAGUCCGGGAGAGGUGAGUGGAACUGCGAGUGUAGAGGUGAAAUUCGUAGAUAUUCGCAAGAACACCAGUGGCGAAGGCGGACUCACUGGCCCGGUACUGACGCUGAGGUGCGAAAGCGUGGGGAG
rnacentral:rRNA from 1 species